GGUUCGGUGGUGUAGUUGGUUAUCACGUCUGUCUCACAGCCCACUUGGUGGUUGCGCACAGGAGGUCUCCGGUUCGAGCCCGGACCGAACCA